CACUGUUGUUGGUGAAGAAGGACAGGGGUAGUAACUGACCUUUGUUUGACGGUAAUCAAUUAGAAAGUCACGGCUAACUACGUGCCAGCAGCCGCGGUAAUACGUAGGUGGCAAGCGUUGUCCGGAUUUAUUGGGCGUAAAGCGAGUGCAGGCGGCUCGAUAAGUCUGAUGUGAAAGCCUUCGGCUCAACCGGAGAAUUGCAUCAGAAACUGUCGAGCUUGAGUACAGAAGAGGAGAGUGGAACUCCAUGUGUAGCGGUGAAUUUAU
rnacentral:rRNA from 1 species